rnacentral:rRNA from 1 species
GGAAUAUUGGACAAUGGGCGAAAGCCUGAUCCAGCAAUGCCGCGUGCAGGAUGAAGGCCUUCGGGUUGUAAACUGCUUUUGUACGGAACGAAAAGCUUCUGGUUAAUACCUGGGAGUCAUGACGGUACCGUAAGAAUAAGCACCGGCUAACUACGUGCCAGCAGCCGCGGUAAUACGUAGGGUGCGAGCGUUAAUCGGAAUUACUGGGCGUAAAGCGUGCGCAGGCGGUUAUGUAAGACAGAGGUGAAAUCCCCGGGCUCAACCUGGGAACGGCCUUUGUGACUGCAUGGCUAGAGUGCGGCAGAGGGGGAUGGAAUUCCGCGUGUAGCAGUGAAAUGCGUAGAUAUGCGGAGGAACACCGAUGGCGAAGGCAAUCCCCUGGGCCUGCACUGACGCUCAUGCACGAAAGCGUGGGGAGC